AAUCAACGCUGGCGGCGUGCCUAACACAUGCAAGUCGCACGAGAAAGGGACUUCGGUCCGUGAGUACAGUGGCGCACGGGUGAGUAACACGUGAAUAAUCUACCUCCGAGUGGGGAAUAACUGAGAGAAAUCUUAGCUAAUACCGCAUAACACUUACGAGUCAAAGCAGCAAUGCGCUUGGAGAGGAGUUCGCGGCAGAUUAGUUAGUUGGCAGGGCAAUGGCCUACCAAGACGAUGAUCUGUAUCCGGCCUGAGAGGCGCACGGACACACUGGAACUGAAACACGGUCCAGACUCCUACGGGAGGCAGCAGU
rnacentral:rRNA from 1 species